GACGAACGCUGGCGGCGUGCCUAAUACAUGCAAGUAGGACGCAGUUGCGAACGGGUGAGUAACGCGUAGGUAACUGACUAUUAGAGGGGGAUAACUAUUGGAAACGAUAGCUAAUACCGCAUACUAGUAGAUGGACCUGCGUUGUAUUAGCUAGUAGGUAGGGUAAUGGCCUACCUAGGAGACGAUACAUAGCCGAUCGGAGAGGGUGAUCGGCCAACCUGGGACUGAGACACUGCCCAGACUCCUGCGGGAGGCAGCAGUAGGGAAUUGUCGGAAAUGGGGGGAACCCUGACCUAGCAAGGCCGCGUGAGUGAAGAAGGUUUUCGGAUCGUAAAGCUCUGUUGUUAAGGAAGCGGUACUUAACCAGAAAGGGACGGCUAACUACGUGCCAGCAGCCGCGGUAAUUC
rnacentral:rRNA from 1 species